CUGAGAUUUCUGCUUUCUUGUUGAUGCAUGUUAUUUGUGUUUGUAAGGAAUGAAGGCUACUCCCGUGACACAGCCUUCCCCCUCAGCUAUUCCUGUGUUAAAUUGAGUCAGUGCCAUGUGCAUGUGUUUUAAACAGGGCAAUAUGUGCACCCUGCGUUGAGGCUACGGGAGCAGCGACUGGAAUUGAAACCAGCUGAAUUAAUCUCCUGGAAACAGCACUGACAGGAGCCUGAUUAUGGGGUGUCCCUUCAACCAGCCCGGCCCGCUUGUGCCCUCCCCUCUCCAGCAGACCAAAGGUUAAUGCAGUCUCCUUGUUUGUUCCCCUCCCUAGCCGUUCGCCCUCUCAUGCACACAACACUCAUGCACCUCCAGACUUGACAGCAUGAAACUCCAAGACGCCGUCGCAUCAUCUUCUAUCUGACCUGGGGAGCGGACGCCCAAACACACCAUCGCAUAGCAAGUCCUCUCUGGAGAGGAUAUCAGUGUCUGAAUUACAUCCUCAACUAACUCGGCAACCACAGCCAGGAAAUGGAAGUUAGGGAGAGUCCUGUCUUCAUCCUGACCGAAGCGAGAGUGAAAUAAAUUUUGUCCAAGCUAGCAUCCUGUGUUGGACAGCUACUUGAAGCUGUGUGCCAUGAGACAAGCUCAGACGGAUGGAUUUCAGCACUAAUCCGUUUGAUGUAAGUGAAUUUAGGUUCUAAUUCAUGGGCUUGUGCACUGUAUAACAAGCCAGAAUCAGCAACACACGGUCCAUAAAUUCAAGAGGAGAGCAAGAGGGAGAGAGAGACAGAGUGUGGGAUGAGAGAAGGGGGUAGAAGAAUAUGGUGUUUAACUGGAAGGCAGUAUGUUUUAUCAGUCACUGGCACCAUUUAGCUGACAAAAAUGAGCAGGCCCAGCUCUGGGAAUAGGGCCUAGGCACCGGGUGUUCACCAAAUCCUCACAAGAAGAAUAUCAGCACUUCUCACAUGCUGCUGCCUGAUAUCCACUGCUGUAGCUGAAAACUAUCUCCAUUGUCCAGUUUGAUUGCCUGAAUCAAACUGAUUUACUGCAAAUCCAUCUGAGCUUUGAUAAAUCUAUUACAGUUUCAUUUCACUGAUUUCAUUAACGUGAAUAAAACCAGCCAUGCUUUCUGCAUAACUGCCUUUUAAUGGCUUGGC